AACGAACGCUGGCGGCAUGCCUAACACAUGCAAGUCGAACGAGACCUUCGGGUCCAGUGGCGCACGGGUGCGUAACCCGUGGGAACCUGCCCUUAGGUUCGGAAUAACUCCCCGAAAGGGGUGCUAAUACCGGAUAAUGUCUUCGGACCAAAGAUUUAUCGCCUUUGGAUGGGCCCGCGUUGGAUUCGCUUGUUGGUAGGGUAAAAGCCUACCAAGGCGACGAUCCAUAGCUGGUCUGAGAGGAUGAUCAGCCACACUUGGAGUGAGACGCGGCCCAGAAUCCUACGGGAGGCAGCAGUGGGGAAUAUUGGAAAAUGGGGGAAGGGCUGAUGCAGCAAUGCCGCGUGAGUGAUGAAGGCAUUAGGGUUGUAAAGCUCUUUUACCCGGGAUGAUAAUGACAGUACCGGGAGAAUAAGCUCCGGCUAACUCCGUG
rnacentral:rRNA from 1 species